AUGCCUCACAAGAUCGCCUGGGCACAUGACGUUGGAGAGGCGGCGGGAAUAUUAAUGUAUUGUCUGGAGGACACCACCAGUGCUGCACACAGGACCAUCUAUUUUGAUGGAUGGCUUGGGCUGGCUGCAUCUGCCACACUUCGAGCAGUAGCCCAACACCCUCAGCCAUCUUUGCAGAAUAAAUUCAACAAGAUCAUUCACCUCGAUUGCUCGAGGUGGAUAAGUCGAAGAGCACUUCAGAGGGCAAUUGCGGAGGAACUGAAGCUUCCUCCUUCUGUAAUGGCUAUUUUUGAUAUGCAAGAUGAGAUAGAUGAUUUCAGUGGGAUAGAUGGGAGCUCUAGAGCUGAGAUUGGAGAUGUCAGCCGAGAGAUCCAUCGAGCCAUGCAAGAACACAGAUGCUUAAUUGUUUUCCACAAUGGCAGCGACAACACAAUUGACUUGAAUGAUCUUGGUAUUCCUCGACCUGGAUGGUUUGAUACUAGAAUACUAUGGUCUUUUAGGGGGAGGCUGCGAACCAAUCUAGGAAUAAAGCAAAAGGUGGAUAAUUCACAUCUUUUUCUUGAUACUGACUGUGAUAAGUGUCCACCCGACUGGGAUUCUUGUAUACGGGAAGAGGCUAGGGAAAUUGCCCAAUGCACAUGUAGGCCUGCCGUUACCACUAAAAUAGCUGAAGAGUGUUGCUUAUAUCUGUUAUCAUUAAGUUCUCGGGGUGGUAACAUCAUGCACUACAACUGGGCCACCCAUGCUUCUAGCUAUUGGGUUUGUGAUGGGAUUAUACAAGGAGAUGAGGCGGACGAAGCAUGGGAGGUUGCGGAUUCUCUGCGUCAACAAAUCCGUGUAGAGCAUUAUUCAUCUCAUGUGUUCUCGUCUUUUGGUAAUGAGCUGAAGAUUCCUCCGAACCGAUGGGUAUUGGCCAGGGAUAACUCUGUUGUGCAAGGAAGGACAAGCAUAAAUACGGUGAGUGUGCAUCCAGAUUCAACGUCACUUUUUGUUGAGGCAGUCACAAGCGAAUCUGAUCCUCCAUUAAGGUUAUUACCUAAUGACAUGUUUCAUCAAUCGGACAACCUUCAUGUGCUCAAAUUAUGUCAUUGCACAUUCAGCUUUUCCUCGCCUCCUUUCCAUUGUUGUCAGAACUUAAGAUUCCUUGGGCUAGAUAAUUGCAAGGAUCAGCGAAUAAAAGAAGAUGAAGAACAAGAUAGAUCAUCAAUGAAAUUUUUUCAAAGCCUGUGGGUGCUAGACAUAUGUUGCACAAAUUGGGAAUUGGCUUUAUCACCAGAGAUAAUAGAGCAGAUGGAGGCAAACAUUAGAGAGGUGCAUAUACAUCGGGGGAGGAUUUGGCGCCUCAAUUUUGCGUGGAGACAACUUCAAAACCUUCGCAAGCUUAAAGUUACUCAGCCUACUUCCCCUUGGGAGUCAAGCAAAAUGGAUGAAUUCACGGAUAUGGUGAAGUUGGAGUUCCUUGACCUGUCUGGGAAUAGUACGAUACAAAUUUUGCCAAGUCUGUCAGGGGCAACAAGCCUCAAGACAAUGGUUCUAGUUGGUUGUUUUGGCUUGGAGCAUGUUGGACCUGAAGGACUCCCUCCAUCACUUGAAUCAUUCAGAUUAGAUGCGGGACCUAAAGAAGAUCAUGGUAAGAAAGCCAAUAUAACUCGUGUCUCCAUGGCUGGUUGUGCAAGAUUAUUUGACUUCACACUAGGUGGAUCACUUCCAAUGCUUGAGGAGCUUAAUUUAUCGGGCACAUCUGUAAAAACACUUGACCUCAGGGAUGAGGUGGUGCAGGUCCAUUGUCUCCAGAAAAUCAUGCUGUUGAAAUGUGAGAAACUUCAUGCUAUACUUUGGCCAGAAAAGGGGAUAACUGAACUAGCUUUGCUAUGCAUUGACACGCGUGGAGGAGAAGAGAUCGGAAGAAUACCAUCAAAGUUUUACAAGGCAAAUAAGGGACAUUGUGAAGCACAUGUUGCUAUCGUGGAUAUGCGAUUCAUUCAGCUACUGGUGCUAAGAAGUUGGAAUGUGCGUAGAAUGGAUCUAAAUCUCUGUAUAUCUGCCACUAGCACAGAUGGUAGACGUAGCUGCAAUAAGGGUCCUGGUAACAGUGGGAAAAUAAUUGCGCCACCCCAACCGAAGCCAUUAAUCACCAAUAUUUCUUACAACACCUACACUGAUCUUGCUACUGAAAAUAUCUUUGCUGACCAUUUCAAUGGCAGUGCAUGCCGAUUUGAGCCAUUUGGGUGCCAUGUGGAGAUUGGUGAUGGAAUUAACAACACCAGCGUGGAGAGUGUACAAGGAGUCAAGGCUGUUAUAUUUGUGAUGAACAAAGUUGAAUCUUUGAACGUGCAUGACAAUUCUUCCAUCACCACUAUUAUCCCUAAACACAUGGUGGCCAUAGAUGGGGAUAUACUUAUUUGGCAACGUUUGAAGUGGUGUCAUGUGGUGAGAUGUCCUAAGAUGCACACGGUCUUCACUAGUGAUUACAACAGCUUCGUUUUCGAGGAACUAGAGAAAUUUUGGGCGGCUGAUCUCCUGAUGGUGCACUGCAUUUGGAGCAAAGGAAAGACGGUCCAAGGCUUUGUCGCUCCUUCAUUCGCAAAACUGCGGAGCAUACACCUCUACGCUUGUCCGAGCCUCACAUUUGUCCUCUCACUGGCAUGGUUCACCUUGAGCAGUUUAGAGACCCUCCAUAUUGUCAACUGUGGUAAUCUCAACAAGGUAUUCCCUGUGGAACCAGAGUUUCUAACAAGAAUAGAUACCAACCACCAAAAAGGUGCACUAGAGUUCCCAAAGUUGAAGCAUAUCUACCUGCACGAGCUCUAUAAGCUGCAGCACAUAUGUGAAGCCAAAAUGAUUGCUCCCAUACUUGAGACAAUCAGGCUUAGGGGAUGUUGGGGUCUCGAGCGCCUCCCUGCUGUUGGCCUAGACCGUCGUCCCAUUGUGGACUGCGAGAAGGAGUGGUGGGAGAAGCUGGAGUGGGACGGGCUAGAGGCCCAACAUGACCCUUCCCUCUUCGAGCCGCACCACCCACCAUAUUACAAGGAGCCCCUACCUAGAGGCUCAGUGCUCUGGUGA
rnacentral:rRNA from 1 species